GCUUAUAUAAUUUAAAAGAAUAUUGCAUUGAAGCUGCAAAAGUGGAAAUAGUUUCCUGUGAGUA
rnacentral:tRNA from 2 species